AGAAUAAAAUAAACAAAAACAAAAAAAAUGUCAAGCGAUUUGGCUAAAAAUCAACAAUUCCUUAGGGAUGCGUUUAAAGGUUUUGACCUGAACGGGGACGGGAAGGUGUCCGUGAAUGAGUUCAAGAGCAUCAUGAGGAGGAGCAACAAGCAACUCAGUGACGAGGAAAUCGACGAAUUGGUCGAAAAGGCUGACGUCGACGAUGAUAGGAGAAUCAAUUAUGAGGAAUUCUGCAAAAUGAUGAAUUAGAGUUCUGUGGAAAAAUGUUGUUUUUUGUUGUUGAAAAUUGUUUUUUUUAAUAUGAUCUAUUUGGUUUAUGAUUAAAAUAAAAACAUUUUGUAGCUCUACAUCUUUGAAAGAAGAAAAUCUAAGGUUUAAUUUUUUUUUCUCUAUCUACUAUUUUCCGUAACCAAAUGGAUCAUGUCUAAUUUUUAAGGUUCUGUGUGUGUUAUCAUGCUACUAAUUGUUAUUAUGUUUUAAUUAUUAUUAUGCUGAAAUGCAAUAUUAUUU